AUUGUGAGGUUAAAAGUUGAUUAGAUGUUCAAAAAUGAAAAUCUUUCGCUGUCGUCUUAAACAAGAUUAAUAGCGGUCUUAAAUUGCUCCUUUUUCCUUUUCUUUAUAUAAAUAGCAGUGAAAAUAAAAGAUAAUAAAAUUUUUAUGUGUCUGCUCCGGUAUACGAGCGUACACUUCACCACUUAA